rnacentral:lncRNA from 1 species
CUCAGUCACAUGCUCUCAGCUGGAAAGCAAAAGUUGCCAGAGAUGUCUGGGGAAGGGUGACAUGGAGCAUGCAGAAGACUGAACCAGAAUGCUUGUUUUUGAAGGAUUCCAGCAGGAUGAUUUCUGUGACUGAGAGACACCACAUUGCCCACAGACCCCGCUGCAGUGGCAAAAUCAAGGGUUUCAGAGUGUGCUCUUAAAAAUAUUGGAGCUAACCUGUGACAGCCAGAGGAAAAACAGGAGUGGACAACGAAGUCUGUGGUGUCAAGACAGGCAUGUAAAGGAAUGAG